GGUGAAAGCGGGGGAUCGCAAGACCUCGCGCUAUUGGAGCGGCCGAUAUCAGAUUAGGUAGUUGGUGGGGUAAAAGCCUACCAAGCCGACGAUCUGUAGCUGGUCUGAGAGGACGACCAGCCACACUGGGACUGAGACACGGCCCAGACUCCUACGGGAGGCAGCAGUGGGGAAUUUUGGACAAUGGGCGCAAGCCUGAUCCAGCCAUGCCGCGUGCGGGGAGAAGGCCUUCGGGUUGUAAACCGCUUUUGUCAGGGAAGAAAUCUUCUGAGUUAAUACCUCGGGAGGAUGACGGUACCUGAAGAAUAAGCACCGGCUAACUACGUGCCAGCAGCCGCGGUAAUACGUAGGGUGCGAGCGUUAAUCGGAAUUACUGGGCGUAAAGCGUGCGCAGGCGGUCUUGCAAGACAGGUGUGAAAUCCCCGGGCUUAACCUGGGAACUGCACUUGUGACUGCAAGGCUGGAGUACGGCAGAGGGGGAUGGAGUUCCGCGUGUAGCA
rnacentral:rRNA from 1 species